rnacentral:rRNA from 1 species
GAUGAACGCUGACAGAAUGCUUAACACAUGCAAGUCAACUUGAAUUUGGGUUUUUAACUUAGGUUUGGGUGGCGGACGGGUGAGUAACGCGUAAAGAACUUGCCUCACAGCUAGGGACAACAUUUGGAAACGAAUGCUAAUACCUAAUAUUAUGAUAAUAGGGCAUCCUAUAAUUAUGAAAGCUAUAAGCGCUGUGAGAGAGCUAUGCGUCCCAUUAGCUAGUUGGAGAGGUAACGGCUCACCAAGGCGAUGAUGGGUAGCCGGCCUGAGAGGGUGAUCGGCCACAAGGGGACUGAGACACGGCCCUUACUCCUACGGGAGGCAGCAGUGGGGAAUAUUGGACAAUGGACCGAGAGUCUGAUCCAGCAAUUCUGUGUGCACGAUGAAGUUCUUCGGAAUGUAAAGUGCUUUCAGUUGGGAAGAAAAAAAUGACGGUACCAACAGAAGAAGUGACGGCUAAAUACGUGCCAGCAGCCGCGGUAAUACGUAUGUCACGAGCGUUAUCCGGAUUUAUUGGGCGUAAAGCGCGUCUAGGUGGUUAUAUAAGUCUGAUGUGAAAAUGCAGGGCUCAACUCUGUAUUGCGUUGGAAACUGUAUAACUAGAGUACUGGAGAGGUAAGCGGAACUACAAGUGUAGAGGUGAAAUUCGUAGAUAUUUGUAGGAAUGCCGAUGGGGAAGCCAGCUUACUGGACAGAUACUGACGCUGAAGCGCGAAAGCGUGGGUAGCAAACAGG